rnacentral:rRNA from 1 species
UACAGAGGUCCCAAGCGUUGUUCGGAUUCACUGGGCGUAAAGGGUGCGUAGGCGGUCGGGUAAGUCUGUCGUGAAAUCUCCGAGCCCAACUCGGAAACUGCGUCGGAUACUAUUCGGCUAGAGGAAUGGAGGGGAGACUGGAAUUCUCGGUGUAGCAGUGAAAUGCGUAGAUAUCGAGAGGAACACCAGUGGCGAAGGCGAGUCUCUGGACAGUUCCUGACACUGAGGCACGAAGGCCAGGGGAGCAAACGGG